rnacentral:rRNA from 1 species
CACGUAGGGCGCAAGCGUUGUCCGGAAUUAUUGGGCGUAAAGAGCUCGUAGGUGGUUUGUUACGUCCGCUGUGAAAUCCUAGGGCUUAACCCUGGGCUUGCAGUGGAUACGGGCAGACUAGAGGUAGGUAGGGGAGAAUGGAAUUCCUGGUGUAGCGGUGAAAUGCGCAGAUAUCAGGAGGAACACCGGUGGCGAAGGCGGUUCUCUGGGACGGUACUGACGCUGAGACGCGAAAGCGUGGGGAGCGAACAGG